GGCCCUAUGGGGUGCAGCAGGCAGGAAACCUUUACAAUGCGCGCAAGCGUGAUAAGGGAAUCCCAAGUGCCUGUCCUCUGGGCAGGCUUUUGCUAAGUGUAAAUAGCUUGGCGAAUAAGUGGUGGGUAAGACUGGUGCCAGCCGCCGCGGUAACACCAGCGCCACAAGUGGUGAUCAUUUUUAUUGGGUCUAAAGCGUCCGUAGCCGGUAAUGUAAAUCUUUUGUGAAAUUGUUGGGCUUAACUUAACAACGUGCAAGGGAAACUGCAUUGCUUGAGACCGGGAGGGGACAGAAGUAUGCUGUGGGGAGCGGUAAAAUGUUAUAAUCCACAGUAGACUACCUAUGGCGAAGGCAUCUGUCUAGAACGGUUCUGACGGUGAGGGACGAAAGCUAGGGGAGCAAAAUGGAUUAGAUACCCAAGUAGUCCUAGCUGUAAACGCUGCGAGCUGAGUGUUGUAUAUUCUUCGUGAAUGUACAGUGCUGUAGCGAAGGUGUUAAGCUCGCCACCUGGGAAGUACGGUCGCAAGGCUGAAACUUAAAGGAAUUGGCGGGGGAGCAC
rnacentral:rRNA from 1 species